UGUUUAUGAAAUUAAUUAAUUUUACUGGAAUCCCUCAGAUCUUGGUCAAUUACGCUGUUCCCAGUCGUCCCUUCUCACGCCUCACUCCUCACCAACCAAGCCUCUUCUCACUAGAGCUUCCUCUCUCAAACUCUCCAAUGGCCGCAUCUUCGCUUCUUCAAUCUCCAUAUCUCGCCUCUAAAACCAGAACCACACCCUCUCGCUAUGUUAAACCCACUCCUCAUUUCCUCCCCAUCAAAGCCUCCGCCUUUGAUAAUCCUUCUAACUCUACAGCUCCAUCUCCAACCACCAGCGCCCCCACUACCUACAAAGGUUGCAACAUCCGCGAAGAGGCCCGCCGCCACAGCCUUACUCACCCACAACCCGACAACAACUUCUCCGCCAAAUACGUCCCCUUCAAUGCCGGACCCACUUGCUCAGAAUCAUACUCCCUUGAUGAGAUCGUUUACCGUUCUCAGUCCGGUGGCCUCCUCGACGUUCAACAUGACAUCUCCGCCCUCAAGGCCUUCCCGGGUUCUUACUGGCGUGCACUCUUCGAUUCCCGGGUUGGGAAGACCACUUGGCCGUACGGAUCCGGAGUUUGGUCUAAGAAGGAGUGGGUUUUGCCUGAGAUAUCUAGCGAUGAUAUUGUUAGCGCCUUUGAAGGGAACUCGAAUCUGUUUUGGGCGGAGAGAUAUGGGAAGCAGUUUUUGAACAUGAACGAUUUGUGGGUCAAGCAUUGUGGGAUCAGCCAUACUGGGAGCUUUAAAGAUUUGGGUAUGACGGUACUGGUCAGCCAAGUGAACAGGUUGCGAAAAAUGAACAAACCAGUGGUUGGAGUUGGCUGCGCUUCCACUGGUGACACCUCCGCCGCACUAUCUGCUUACUGUGCUUCUGCGGGUAUUCCUUCUAUUGUUUUUCUACCAGCAAAUAAGAUUUCCAUGGCCCAACUAGUGCAGCCCAUUGCCAAUGGGGCUUUUGUUUUGAGUAUUGAUACUGAUUUUGAUGGGUGCAUGCAGUUAAUAAGGGAGGUUACUGCUGAGUUGCCUAUUUAUUUAGCAAAUUCACUUAAUAGUUUGAGGCUGGAGGGUCAGAAAACUGCUGCAAUUGAGAUUUUACAGCAGUUUGAUUGGGAAGUGCCUGAGUGGGUUAUUGUUCCAGGAGGUAAUUUGGGUAAUAUAUAUGCCUUUUAUAAAGGG
rnacentral:misc_RNA from 1 species